UAUUUUAUUGAGUUGACAUGACUCCCUUCCUUAUCAGUGACAUGUUUCUUCACAAGAGCAAGAGUUAGAUGGCUCGAUCUUCAUUCAAUCAUUCUGCACUCCGAAGCCCUCAGAUGCUACCUCCAAAGGAGGCAAAUUAAGACUUCCAGCGUAUUUAAAAUAUCUUCUUUUUCUGAGGAUCUCCCUGAUUUGAAGCAGGAGAACCAGGGAAAAACUCACUGAUGGCAAGUCGCUUCAAACAUGUUCAAACUGGCUUCGUUGCCAAGUUUCAAGAAUGGAGCUAAGUCGUUUUUCCUUUUCCUUUUCCUUCCCUUCUUUUCCUUUUCUUUUUUGUUUGAGACUUUACUGAGCUGCACCUUUUUUUCUUUUCUUUCAUGAUGACUUUCUGGGUACUCUGAAGUAAAGAAUACAGCCCAAAUCCCUUGUAACAUUGAUAGAUUUUAUAUUAGUUUCCUAGGGUUCUCAAACAAAUGACCACAACCUGGUUGCUAAAAACAACAGAGAUUUACUCUCCCACAGUCCUGGAUCCAGACGUUGGUAGAGCCAUGGUCCCUCGGAGACCCAGCAAGAUCCCGCCUUACGUCUUUAUAGCUUCAGGGGUGCUUGUCAAUCCUUGGCUCCCAGGCUUGCCCCAGUCUCUGCCUCCCUAGUCAUGUGGUCUUCUCCCUGUGUGUCUGUCUUCAUGGGGCGUUUCCCCUUUUCAUAAGGACACAGGUCAGACCACAUUAGGGCCCACCCUAAUGACCUCAUCUUAACUUGAUUGUAUCUGCAAAGUCUCUCUUUCCAAAUACAGUCGCAUUCAUAGGUACAGGGAGUUAGCACGUCAGCAUAUAUUUCUGGGGGACACAAUUCAAUCCAGAACAGAAUUCUACUCCAUCCAAUGACAAUUUAUGAAACUGACACAUUAUUCUCUUUUAUUUAAAAAAGAGUAAUUUGCACUACGAAUGUCAUUUAAAACCAACUAAUAUGACCAUCCAGACUCAUUUAAUGAAGAAAGGAUAUUUUUAAAUUAUUGCACUUAUCCCUAAACUUACUUUUAUCUUUUAUUGACAACAUUGGCAUAAAUGUUUCACUGAUACGAGUUUGUGGAUCUAUGAAGUAUCCUCAUAUUCGGUUGACACUCAAACUUAAUUGUAGUUUAUUCUUGAAAACACAAUAUCAAAUCCUCAAAUCCCACUGUUCUGGGCUCAUUUUACCUCAUAAAUUUUCACAAGCAUAUCAGACUCCCCUUGUCCAAAGCUCAUUCGUUAGCUCCUCCUUCACACCUCUCCUGAAUUAACUCUCCCCAGUUUUUCUCUGCUGAUCGGUACCAGUACUCUCCCAAUUCUCAUCCGACAAUCCAUAUAUCUGGGAGUCAUUCCUGUAAGUACCGUGUUCUCACCCCCGUAAAUAUGUCCACCAAGGCUUGUCAGCCGCUUCUCACAGGUAAUUUCCAAAUAUAUCCACCAUCACUCAAGCUGUCUCUCUCAGCUGCACCUCUUCAAAUGCUUUCUAACAUAUAUCCUUACAUUCACUUUUGCCUCCCACGAACUCAUUCUCCAAUUAUAACUAGAGCAAGCUUUCAAACGAGAAAUCAAACCAUGUCCUGCCGUAGCUGAGAAAACUCCAUGAGUGCUCAUUUCUUGCUGGAUAAAGACAAGGAAACCAUAACUGGGUGUUCUAGGCCUUCUUAACCAACUGCUGUGUGUUUACGCUCUAUGGUUGUGACCUUCGUCUUAGUCGGUAUCGGCUGAUGAAGCGCCGUAGACUGUGGGGCUUAUAAAGAAUGGACCCUUGUUUCUCACACUUCUAGAGCCUUCAAGCCCAAGUUCAAGUCACCAGCAGACCUGGAGGACCUCUUCCUGGUUCACAGACCACCUCUUCUCACUGUGUCCUCACACGGCGGAUGGGAUGAGGGGGCUCUCUGGUGUCUCUUUUAUCAGGGCACUAACCAAUUCAUGGGGGUCCCACUCUCAUCAUACCUCCUGAAGGCCUCACCUCCAAAGACCAUCGCAUUGGGGGGGGGGUAGGCUUCAACAAAUGGAUUUAGAGGGACAUGAACAUUCAGUCUCUAACAGGCCCCCAAACCAUACUUCUUCUCUUUUCUUUGAAAGCACUGUGCAGUUCCAGCCUUUAUAGCCUCAAACAAGCUACUUCCCCGAUCCAGAACACAACCCUCACAUUCUUCCAUGUUUUUACCUUCUCCUGGUAAAUGUCUACUCUUAUUUCAGAUCUCAGAUCAACUGUCACAUGUGUGACUCAUAGUCAAGAACUUCCCCGUGGUUCCUGAUACACACUUGUGAAGAACACUUCAUUUUCCUAGAAAACCCACAGCAAUCCUAAGCAAGCAAAUGCACAGUUAGCUGUUAGGAAGCUUCUUUUCACUGACGGGAUGUAAUUUCUAUGGGGAUGAGGACCUGAUCUGCUUCCGUGUUACUUCUAACUCUUAACUGCCUUGAUUCUAGGACCUACCACCACCUGCCGAGUGAAUAAGUGUGCAAGUCCUGGGGACUUAAAUCAUUAAAAUUUAAUUCUAUUCUCCUGUGGUUUCCUUAAAACCACCCUCCUUGGUGGGGACUUUUACGGUGAGCUCCAGGCAGCACAGGGCUGUGUGAGGAUUUUUUUAAAAAAAUCCAUGGUCUUGAAGAUCCAAGUGAUGAGAGAGGCAGCACAUGUCUCUCAAUUAACACAAGGUAAGAGGAGAUUUCUGUACAGAUGGCCAGGAUGGAGUAGAGUGAGCACGCCUCCUUGUUGUCUGAGAGCACCCUAAGUCCACAAAUAUUUUUAGUGUAGACAAAAGAAUGUAGCAAAAUGCAAAUAAUUUAUGUUCCGAAAAUAGAAGUAUAAAUAAUGCAUUGGGCAUAUGAAGCAAAACUGUACAUAAUGUACUUCUCUCAUCUGCUUGGAAUUCAGGGCAUUGUUGACAGAGAACUGAGGUAUAUGGUAUGAAAUAACUGCAUCAGAAGGAUGAACGACACCAAGCAGGCCGGAACAUGGAUCAUUUGCAGCAAAUCUGCAAAGGCCACUUGGACAAAUGCAUAAGGGGACCCUACAUGUUCCAUGUGUCCUCAUCUGGAGAAGGCUUUGGAUCUUCUGCCUGGCUUUCUCACUCAUAAACUUUUAUAUUUAGGAGGAAGUGCACAGAAAGCGUUUCUCCUGUACCAAAACACAGCAGUCACCUUGAGGAAAGGCUCUGUGUACCUGGUGGCAAGCCCGGCAGCCACUUUCUAUGGGACGCCACUUUUACUUGAGGAAUGACUAACGGACAAAAGUAUUUCAACUCCAGGAAGAUCCUUACAAGCCAGUGAGUCAAUAUUUUAUAAACGAGCAAUGCAUGGUAUCAAACCAGCAAGAAUCAGUGGGUUUUCACGGAAAAGAGUGUGAAAAGUUCACUGACAUGGUUUCAGUUUCCACACCAGAACUAAUCUCUAAGA